rnacentral:lncRNA from 1 species
GUCGAUUUGAUCGACCUCAGUGCGCAACUGGUACUUAUUUAAUCGACCCCCGAAAGGAUGAAAGGCAAAGUCGACCUCAGCUGAAUUUGAACUCAGGACCUAAAGACAGACGUAAUACUUAUUUCUUUACUACCCACAAGGGGCGAUCCUUCGGUAGAAGUACCGUAAGUGGCUUUGUUUACGUUUCUGAAGAUAACUGAAACCCUUUUCUCCCAUCUCUAACCCUAACACAAACCCUAAUCCUAGCCCCCCCCCACCAUAUAUAUAUAUAUAUAAAAAAAACACUUUCUGGAAAUGUAUCCGUUACUUAUACCGAAGUUACGCCACUAUUUAAUUUCAUUAACCUUUUUUUUUUGCUGCCCUGGGACUUUAUUUUAUCGAUUCCGAAAGAACGAAUGAAUGCCUCGGCGGGGUUCGAACUUGGAAUGGUAAAGAACCGUUAGAAAUGCCGCUUCGCAUUCUACCAGCUCGCAGUCUUACGCGUGUGGUAUAAUAUCUAAUACUGGUUUAUUUUUAUGAAACGGGUGAGUUGACAAAGAUUUGUUGUAAGGCUGUAAAAAGGUGUAUCAAUGGCAUAAUAUAUUUCCUCAUUGUAGCUUUUACGAAUGGGAUAAAAUGUGUUUCGAAAUUCAUGUUUGUCUAUUACUAAUGAAAACUUUUUAUAUACGUUCUUGACCGCCUUGCUUGCAUGCAAGGGAUGUCAUCUUUUUUUCAUAAUUACUGACCUAUUUAUUUUUUGACCUCUUACCAACUUGACCCAAAUUAGCAUCCAAUUUUUUAAGCAAUUUCUGAAGAAGGUAGGUAUUCCUUCGAUAUCACUCGACAAAAUCAAACUUGGACUCCAGUAUUUUCCGAAAUUCCAUACCCCACUCUUCCUAACCCCCCCCCCCCGAAAAAACCAUUUUUUUGUAUAUUUGGGAUCUACAUGAUAUAACACAUAUUCGUAGGGAAUUUCAUUAAAAAAUAUCCAUUUUACUGAAAGUUAUGAUCAUCUAAAGUAGGGGAGUCGAUAAAAAAAUAUUCGAUGUAAAUUGGAUUGAUAAAUUUAUUAUUUAUUUAUGGUUGACUGUUAUAUACAAGAUCAAAUAUAUAAGUUGCAUUUGUUUCUUUACAGUUAAAGAAGACAAGAUUGGUAUAUUCGGUAUUACUUAUUCGGUAAAUUUGGACAAGUAUACCUGCAUUCGGUUCACCAAAAGAAAAAAAAACCCGGAUUUUUCACCUGGAAAAGUAUCUUUCCCGCCAAAACUCUAAUAGGGGAACUAAUGCGUUUCAUUUUUGCGUGGGGAGAGAGAGACAAUCAAUGUUUUCACUCUACAAAGAAGCGAUUUAAAAGAAAUAUAUGCUUAUAGAAAACUAUUGUAUCUUUUUAAAAUAUCCUUAAUUUACAUAUUGUAUGUUGUGUGCGUG